rnacentral:rRNA from 1 species
UGGAUCCACACUUUGAUUCUGGCUCAGGAUGAACGCUAGCUACAGGCUUACCACAUGCAAGUCGAGGGGAAACGACAUCGAAAGCUUGCUUUUGAUGGGCGUCGACCGGCGCACGGGUGAGUAACGCGUAUCCAACCUGCCCACCACUUGGGGAUAACCUUGCGAAAGUAAGACUAAUACCCAAUGAUAUCUCUAGAAGGCAUCAGAAAGAGAUUAAAGAUUUAUCGGUGAUGGAUGGGGAUGCGUCUGAUUAGCUUGUUGGCGGGGUAACGGCCCACCAAGGCUACGAUCAGUAGGGGUUCUGAGAGGAAGGUCCCCCACAUUGGAACUGAGACACGGUCCAAACUCCUACGGGAGGCAGCAGUGAGGAAUAUUGGUCAAUGGGCGAGAGCCUGAACCAGCCAAGUAGCGUGCAGGACGACGGCCCUAUGGGUUGUAAACUGCUUUUAUAAGGGAAUAAAGUGAGUCUCGUGAGACUUUUUGCAUGUACCUUAUGAAUAAGGACCGGCUAAUUCCGUGCCAGCAGCCGCGGUAAUACGGAAGGUCCGGGCGUUAUCCGGAUUUAUUGGGUUUAAAGGGAGCGUAGGCCGGAGAUUAAGCGUGUUGUGAAAUGUAGAGGCUCAACCUCUGCACUGCAGCGCGAACUGGUCUUCUUGAGUACGCACAACGUGGGCGGAAUUCGUGGUGUAGCGGUGAAAUGCUUAGAUAUCACGAAGAACUCCGAUUGCGAAGGCAGCUCACGGGAGCGCAACUGACGCUGAAGCUCGAAAGUGCGGGUAUCGAACAGGAUUAGAUACCCUGGUAGUCCGCACGGUAAACGAUGGAUGCCCGCUGUUGGCCUGAAUAGGUCAGCGGCCAAGCGAAAGCAUUAAGCAUCCCACCUGGGGAGUACGCCGGCAACGGUGCAACUCAAAUGAAUUGACGGA